UAUGAUUGAUGUUUAAUGGC
rnacentral:miRNA from 1 species